rnacentral:rRNA from 1 species
GCUUGCUUCUCUGAUGUUAGCGGCGGACGGGUGAGUAACACGUGGAUAACCUACCUAUAAGACUGGGAUAACUUCGGGAAACCGGAGCUAAUACCGGAUAAUAUUUUGAACCGCAUGGUUCAAAAGUAAAAGACGGUCUUGCUGUCACUUAUAGAUGGAUCCGCGCUGCAUUAGCUAGUUGGUAAGGUAACGGCUUACCAAGGCAACGAUGCAUAGCCGACCUGAGAGGGUGAUCGGCCACACUGGAACUGAGACACGGUCCAGACUCCUACGGGAGGCAGCAGUAGGGAAUCUUCCGCAAUGGGCGAAAGCCUGACGGAGCAACGCCGCGUGAGUGAUGAAGGUCUUCGGAUCGUAAAACUCUGUUAUUAGGGAAGAACAUAUGUGUAAGUAACUGUGCACAUCUUGACGGUACCUAAUCAGAAAGCCACGGCUAACUACGUGCCAGCAGCCGCGGUAAUACGUAGGUGGCAAGCGUUAUCCGGAAUUAUUGGGCGUAAAGCGCGCGUAGGCGGUUUUUUAAGUCUGAUGUGAAAGCCCACGGCUCAACCGUGGAGGGUCAUUGGAAACUGGAAAACUUGAGUGCAGAAGAGGAAAGUGGAAUUCCAUGUGUAGCGGUGAAAUGCGCAGAGAUAUGGAGGAACACCAGUGGCGAAGGCGACUUUCUGGUCUGUAACUGACGCUGAUGUGCGAAAGCGUGGGGAUCAAACAGGAUUAGAUACCCUGGUAGUCCACGCCGUAAACGAUGAGUGCUAAGUGUUAGGGGGUUUCCGCCCCUUAGUGCUGCAGCUAACGCAUUAAGCACUCCGCCUGGGGAGUACGACCGCAAGGUUG